rnacentral:rRNA from 1 species
AGAGUUUGAUUCUGGCUCAGGAUGAACGCUGGCGGCGUGCUUAACACAUGCAAGUCGAACGGGGUGCCUUUGAAAGAGGAUUCGUCCAAUUGAGAAGGUUACCUAGUGGCGGACGGGUGAGUAACGCGUGAGUAACCUGCCUUGGAGUGGGGAAUAACACAUCGAAAGAUGUGCUAAUACCGCAUAAUGCAGUUGGGCCGCAUGGCUCUGACUGCCAAAGAUUUAUCGCUCUGAGAUGGACUCGCGUCUGAUUAGCUGGUUGGCGGGGUAACGGCCCACCAAGGCGACGAUCAGUAGCCGGACUGAGAGGUUGACCGGCCACAUUGGGACUGAGACACGGCCCAGACUCCUACGGGAGGCAGCAGUGGGGAAUAUUGGGCAAUGGGCGCAAGCCUGACCCAGCAACGCCGCGUGAAGGAAGAAGGCUUUCGGGUUGUAAACUUCUUUUAUCAGGGACGAAGCAAGUGACGGUACCUGAUGAAUAAGCCACGGCUAACUACGUGCCAGCAGCCGCGGUAAUACGUAGGUGGCAAGCGUUAUC